rnacentral:rRNA from 1 species
GACGAACGCUGGCGGCGUGCUUAACACAUGCAAGUCGAACGGUGAAGCCGAGCUUGCUCUGUGGAUCCGUGGCGAAAGGGUGUGUAACACGUGAGUAUACUGCCCUUGUCUCUGGGAUAAGCGUUGGAGACGACGUCUCUUAUUGGGUACGGCGACUGAUGGCACCUUCUGGUUGUGGGAAGAAUUUUGGUCAAGGAUGGACUCGCGGCUUAUCAGCUUGUUGGUGUGGUAUUGGCUCACCAAGGCGCCGACGGGUAGCCGGCCUGAGAGGGUGACCGGCCACACUGGGACUGAGACACGGCCCAGACUCCUACGGGAGGCAGCAGUGGGGAAUAUUGCACAAUGGGCGCAAGCCUGAUGCAGCAACGCCGCGUGAGGGAUGACGGCCUUCGGGUUGUAAACCGCUUUUGGCUGUGAAGAAGCGAGAGUGACGGUACUGGGUAAAGAAGCACCGGCUAACUACGUG